GCCCUCGUAGCUCAGUCGGAUAGAGCAACGGACUUCUAAUCCGUGGGUCGCAGGUUCGAUUCCUGUCGAGGGCG
rnacentral:tRNA from 1 species